CAGUCGCCACGGGAAUACGAAGGGGGCUAGCGUUGCUCGGAAUUACUGGGCGUAAAGGGAGCGUAGGCGGAUCGUUUAGUCAGGGGUGAAAUCCCGGGGCUCAACCUCGGAACUGCCUUUGAUACUGGCGAUCUUGAGUAUGGGAGAGGUGUGUGGAACUCCGAGUGUAGAGGUGAAAUUCGUAGAUAUUCGGAAGAACACCAGUGGCGAAGGCGACACACUGGCCCAUUACUGACGCUGAGGCUCGAAAGCGUGGGGAGCAAACAGGAUUAGAUACCCGGGUAGUCCCUGUCUCUUAUAA
rnacentral:rRNA from 1 species